GACGAACGCUGGCGGCGUGCCUAAUACAUGCAAGUUGAGCGCUGAAGGUUGGUACUUGUACCGACUGGAUGAGCAGCGAACGGGUGAGUAACGCGUGGGGAAUCUGCCUUUGAGCGGGGGACAACAUUUGGAAACGAAUGCUAAUACCGCAUAAAAACUUUAAACACAAGUUUUAAGUUUGAAAGAUGCAAUUGCAUCACUCAAAGAUGGUCCCGCGUUGUAUUAGCUAGUUGGUGAGGUAAAGGCUCACCAAGGCGAUGAUACAUAGCCGACCUGAGAGGGUGAUCGGCCACAAUGGGACUGAGACACGGCCCAAACUCCUACGGGAGGCAGCAGUAGGGAAUCUUCGGCAAUGGACGAAAGUCUGACCGAGCAACGCCGCGUGAGUGAAGAAGGUUUUCGGAUCGUAAAACUCUGUUGGUAGAGAAGAACGUUGGUGAGAGUGGAAAGCUCAUCAAGUGACGGUAACUACCCAGAAAGGGACGGCUAACUACGUG
rnacentral:rRNA from 1 species